UUGUUUUCUCCAUUUGUUACUACUUGAAAAAUUUCAAAAUCGAGUAUUAUGAUUUCGUUUAUUUGAAUAGGAAGAUCUGAUGC
rnacentral:snoRNA from 1 species